rnacentral:lncRNA from 1 species
GGGAACACACAGCAGUUUGCCCCUCAUCAGAGUAAGCACAUCAGACAUUACUUGCACUAACUGCAAUCAUUUCAGAUUCUAUGAAGCUGUGGGGAAAUGUGUUCAUCACACCACUGUACAAUCUACAGAGAUUUCAUUUGGAAGGAAUCCCGUCGAGGUGGUUUGUUUUCUUUCUUUAAUAUCUGCAACAGUCAGAAAAGUGAUGCGAUGCCUGUUCAGCACUACUCAUCAGGAGAAUAGUCUCUAAGAACUGAUGACUUCAAUGAUGGGAACAAGAUGUAAACUUCACUAAAUGUCAUGCGGCCAAAAUAUAACUGUCCUCAGAGCCUCAGAAUGGAAGCAUGAAAUGAACUCUAUGCCCACAAAUAGAUCUCUAUCCGUGGAAUUCCAAAUGGGAUGAAUUCUUCCUCUAGAUUUCAUGGAACUUUCACUGCUGAGUUAUUAUGAUUAGGGAUAGAAUCUGGAACCAUAGAGGUGUUAAAAAAAAAAAUCAAAACAAAAUGCAAUCUUGCAGUAGCAAGAUCGAAGUAGCAAUGCCCCCAAAUACCCCUUUAUGCCUACUUUUCCACCUUUGCAUUUUCCUCCAGAACCACACUAUUUCCUUUUAGUUUGCAUCAGUGGAUACUGCAUAAAGCAGAUAUCAUCAGUAUGUCAUUUAACAAAAUUAUCAAAGGAAAACAUAUACUCUAACACUCUCUAACACUACUGUUCAUUUUGAGAUUGUCUGUAUUAAGAAUGUCUUCCUAAGAUUAUAUACAAAAGAAUUAAUUCUGUGACCACACAUAAAUGAUUCACACCAGCUAAAGUUAGGAUAUGUUGUUAGACUCCUCAUAUCAGGAGAUCCUAUUAAAAUUCAUGAAUUACCUAUUAAAGAUUCUGUACAGUAGACAUAUCAAAGAAUCUGUAUUUUAACAUACACAACUACAUCUGUUUUCUAUUUUAACUUGUUGCCAUAUGAUAAUAUUUUCUUAGCCACUGGUGUCUGGGGAGAAGUUGCUGUUCCCACUGUAAAUGUUUCCAUUAUAAAUACUAUUUUAACAAGUGCAUUAACUACAUUAGACCACUUUAAUAAGUGUCAGAUUUAACCUGUGGGCUCUACUCAUUUCAGUUACACAGCAUGUAACUCAUGUUCCCAUUUGCUUUGAAUAAUAAAGCUACAUAAUCCAGAGAUCCAUUGGAGUAUACAAGCGUGGUAGUUUCCCAUCCAGAUAAUUAUGUGCAACUCAAAUUACAUUCCAUUAGCACGUUGGCUAGCUGAUCAUGGAAAAUGGGAUGUACUCAGCCAGAAAGGGUAGGAGCAGUCCAAAUGAACAACUUUAAUAUGUGCAAAGACAAAGGAGAUUCAAAGCACUGAUAUUUGCAUUUUAGAGUGAGUGAUAUAGUGCAAACCCACAUCUUUUCUCCUUUAGUAUUUGUUUUAUUUCCCUAGUAUUUUAGGGGUGGAUGCAACUACAGUUCAAAUGUAUUACUUCAAAUAUAUAAUAUAUUGAACUUGCCAGGAGAUGAGAGACAUCUUUGAGUGGUGAUACAGCCUAAGCCAGGAAAUGGAUGGGAAUCCUCAAAGCAACGCAUCUUUACUCAGUCAUGAUUCUGAGGUAUUUCUUCAAGCAGCUAACAUAGAAGCUGAUCAGCUUGUAUGGUUUCCGCACAUCAAUAUAACAUUUCUGCAUUACAAAGGUCACUGAUGCACGUAAACAUUAUGGCAAUUAUUGUGGAGUCUUUGUGUCUUCAGUUAAUUGGAACUAAGAGAGGAAAAGAGAAACUGUGAAACAGUAUUACGAGACAAUUCUUGAAAUUAAAAUAUUUGGGAGGAAGCUUGGAUGAAAUUUUUGUGUAAGAUUGUUCUGAAAUACUAGUGAAACUAUAUACUGCACUGUAGAAAGCCUAUAGAUACUAACUUGCAAUGACUUUUGAUUGGUGAGAAUGGAUGCAUAUUCCUAUGUAGCUAUAUAAAUGUAUCAUUGUAUGAAUCUGUAAUACUCGAUCUAAAAAAAAAAUCUCCACUUGAAAACUGUCACUUUUUUUCUUCUUUUUUUUUCCUUAUGCUCAGGUAAUCCAGUAUACACUCUCUACCUACAAUUUUACACACUUAAGCAUUAGGGUUUCUGAGCUUUGAAACAAGUAGCAAUCAGACCGAACCUCUUCUCUGAGAAGCCUUUGAUGACAUGUAGUAUUUAGGGAUAGAUAAAAUAUGUAUGUAUGUAAUGGAGUGCAACCCUUCCAAAUGAACACAGAUAUCAUCAUAAACAGCACUUCUUAAUAAAACCAUCAUGUGUACUGUGCAAAAAGAAAAAAGAUCUAGAAAUCAACAAUGCUCAGAAACGAAUGCAUUCACAUUUAAAUUAUCAGAGAUGUAGGGAAAGGAGUUGAUAGCAUCUGAGAAACUUGAAACAGUAAUGAGACAUGGCACAAUGGAGAACCAAGCCAUUAUAUAAGUUGUAUAAAGCAUUACCAAAAGGAGGAACAUAAACUGGGCAAAAAAAAUAUAGUUCUUCACAUAUGAGGCAUAGAAACCAUAGCAAUAAACACUACACUGAAAAAAAGUAUAUUUCUCUUUGAUAUUUACUACUACAAGAACGUAAAAAUGCAAUACUCCAUCAAAACUAAAAAGAUUUUACUUAUGUCUCUUCAGGCCAUUUUUCCUUCUGUGUAAAGUUUUCUUUGAUACGUUAUGGCAAUACUA